UUUGGCUGGCCCCAGAACAGGUGCUGCAUGGCUGUCGUCAGCUCGUGUCNUGAGAUGUUGGNUUAAGUCCCGCAACGAGCGCAACCCUCGCCNUNNNUUGCCAGCAUUUAGUUGGGCACUCUAAGGGGACUGCCGGUGAUAAGCCGAGAGGAAGGUGGGGAUGANNNCAAGUCCUCAUGGCCCUUACGGGCUGGGCUACACACGUGCUACAAUGGUGGUGACAGUGGGCAGCGAGACAGCGAUGUCGAGCUAAUCUCCAAAAGCCAUCUCAGUUCGGAUUGCACUCUGCAACUCGAGUGCAUGAAGUUGGAAUCGCUAGUAAUCGCAGAUCAGCAUGCUGCGGUGAAUACGUUCCCGGGCCUUGUACACACCGCCCGUCACACCAUGGGAGUUGGUUUUACCCGAAGGUAGUGCGCUAACCGCAAGGAGGCAGCU
rnacentral:rRNA from 1 species